rnacentral:rRNA from 1 species
UUGAAACUCAAAGGAAUUGACGGGGGCCCGCACAAGCAGUGGAGUAUGUGGUUUAAUUCGAAGCAACGCGAAGAACCUUACCAGGUCUUGACAUGGGGAUGACCGGCGCAGAGAUGUGCCUUUCCUUCGGGACAUCCCACACAGGUGGUGCAUGGUUGUCGUCAGCUCGUGUCGUGAGAUGUUGGGUUAAGUCCCGCAACGAGCGCAACCCUUAUUGUUAGUUGAUACAUUUAGAUGAUCACUCUAGCGAGACUGCCGUUGACAAAACGGAGGAAGGUGGGGACGACGUCAAAUCAUCAUGCCCCUUAUGACCUGGGCUACACACGUACUACAAUGGCAGUCAUACAGAGGGAAGCAAAGCAGUGAUGUGGAGCAAAUCCCUAAAAGCUGUCCCAGUUCAGAUUGCAGGCUGCAACUCGCCUGCAUGAAGUCGGAAUUGCUAGUAAUCGCGGAUCAGCAUGCCGCGGUGAAUACGUUCCCGGGCCUUGUACACACCGCCCGUCACACCAUGAGAGCCGUCAAUACCCGAAGUCCGUAGCCUAACCGCAAGGAGGGUGCGGCCGAAGGUAGGGGUGGUAAUUAGGGUGAAGUCGUAACAAG